rnacentral:rRNA from 1 species
UACGGAGGGUGCAAGCGUUAUCCGGAUUCACUGGGUUUAAAGGGUGCGUAGGCGGACCUGUAAGUCAGGGGUGAAAGCCUGGGGCUUAACCCCAGAAUUGCCUUUGAUACUAUAGGUCUUGAAUGUUGCGGAGGUGAGCGGAAUAUGUCAUGUAGCGGUGAAAUGCUUAGAGAUGACAUAGAACACCAAUUGCGAAGGCAGCUCACUACACAACCAUUGACGCUGAGGCACGAAAGCGUGGGGAUCAAACAGG